CCUACGGGACGCAUCAUUUAUUAAUAUUGGUCAAUUUUCUCUCUCCUUCCCCAUCCAAGUAGCGUGAAGGAUGACUGCCCUACGGGUUGUAAACUUCUUUUAUAAAGGAAUAAAGUGAGGCACGUGUGCCUUUUUGUAUGUACUUUAUGAAUAAGGAUCGGCUAACUCCGUGCCAGCAGCCGCGGUAAUACGGAGGAUCCGAGCGUUAUCCGGAUUUAUUGGGUUUAAAGGGAGCGUAGAUGGGUUGUUAAGUCAGUUGUGAAAGUUUGCGGCUCAACCGUAAAAUUGCAGUUGAAACUGGCAGU
rnacentral:rRNA from 1 species